CGGUAGCAAUACGUCAGCGGCAGACGGGUGAGUAACGCGUGGGAACGUACCUUUUGGUUCGGAACAACACAGGGAAACUUGUGCUAAUACCGGAUAAGCCCUUACGGGGAAAGAUUUAUCGCCGAAAGAUCGGCCCGCGUCUGAUUAGCUAGUUGGUGUGGUAACGGCGCACCAAGGCGACGAUCAGUAGCUGGUCUGAGAGGAUGAUCAGCCACAUUGGGACUGAGACACGGCCCAA
rnacentral:rRNA from 1 species